GUAAUGAAUCAGCUGCUUCAUUUCAACCACACAAUUCAUUCAUUUAUACAUGAUACCAUGAAAGAUUAUACGGCGUUAAAACUUUAUUGUUUAAGCUGAUGGGUCGCUGAUUGUCACGAUGUUCCAAAUAGAUCAAACAAGUUGAUCAAGCAAGUUGGCUUAGCAAGAGACGGGUCAAACAAAUGUAAUCAAUUUCAAAUGCGCGUUUUCUAGCAUUCUGCAUGUAAAAUUAUCAUGGCCACUAUUUUUCGGUUUAAUGCUUUGUUAAAACCAGAUAGUUAUUAUUCAUAUGAUUAAUUUUGAAUAAUGUUUUGUGUAGGCAGAUAUUGUAAUAUUGUUCAACUGUUAAAUAUUAUCUUGAUGAGCAAUUUAUGAUACACUUUAUGCAUGAAA